ACAAAUCAGCAACGACUCUCCCUGGUCUUGCUUCAGUGCACGCCCCAUGUCUAUAGGCUCUUCUCCUACCACUCCGUGACCAAGAGGCCAGCCAUGGCCGGCGCCCCGGGGAGAUCCCAGAUAGGCCGGAUUCCACCGCAGCGCCCGGGUGUCGUGGCUCAUGACGGGACAUCAACCUGACAUGGCCGGAGCGGCAGGGAGCUCCCAGUUGGGGCGGAAGCAGCCUGUGAAUUCCAUGGCUGGGAGGACCCGAUGUCUUCUUUUCGCUCUCUUCCCAUCCAAUCUCUUGCUUUCUUCCAUGGCCUUUCGAUCUGUUUUGGUCCAAUGAUGUUUCUCUCAAAUUUUAUUUUCAUUGGUGUAAAUAGUUAAUUCGAUGCAUUUGUUUCUGCAAGGAGCUACUUAUAUAUUGCCAGCAGAUGCAGUGGUCUGGUGGUUAAUCUUUUUGCUGGUCAAAAUGCAAACUAUUGUACAACAUGAGGAUGUUGCAUCAUCGUAUGAUACAUAUAAGGAGAGGCUAUGAAAUAUUCUGUUUCAUCCAUCCAACAAAUUUGAUUCCAAGUUUAACGCAUUUUGCCUUUAAUUAAGUCUGGUAGAUAUAACUAAGAUAUAUUUCUAAGUUUGGUACGAUUUUUUUUAGUUCAGUCUGAGAGGUAUAAAUAGGAUAUCUUUCUAAUUUUCAUAUGAACCAAGUCAAGGUCGUUUCCUAAUAUUUAUCAGUUUAUUAUGAAUAGAUUCAAGUUUGCGUCCAUCAGUGAAAAUAAUUGUUGAAGCUUACAAUUUGUCCAUGAUUUAGGAAAACUGUUUUCCCUAUUUUCUAGAUUUAUUAUGUCUCCCUGGAACUCCCUGGAAUUCCAUGCACAUCACUUCCUGCUUUUCCUACUUUUCACUCCUUUCAAAGUUUUACAUCAGAACUCUGUUCAGAUCAUGUUCAUGUAGGUUGUUACCGUACUGCAGCUUAUAUGUAUAGGUAUCUUGUUUUUUACUUAACUUUUAUGUGUGCUUGCACUUAUGACGGUAAGCUGGGUUACAGAUGGCAAUUGCUAUCACUAAAGCAUCUUAAGAUGGCCUUUGGUUUUAUUUUUGGCUUAUUCAAUUUGCAAAUGCAGAUUUGUUUAUAUGUGCUAUCGAACUGUAGAAAAGAACAUGUUAAAGCCAAUAAACAUGAUAAACACUAGCUAUUAUAGCUGUUAAAUUGUGUGAUGGUUGUUUGUGAGGUGACGUGUGUUCUGCAUGAGAAUUCAUUUUGUGGCAAGCUAUAUUAAAUCUCAUUUUCUUCUCAAACUAACUACAAUCUUGCUUUAUAGAGGAAAUUUUUGCAACCUGUCUUCCGCAUAUAGUUAAGAUUUCAGCGUGCUUUUUGGAGUAUAGAUGUAAUCUCUGUUCAAGAGGAUGCUCCAGGUCCUGGUUCAGUUCCGAUGUUAGUUAAGAAAUGGAAUUUUUUCAUGUUAGCAAUUGUUGCUUUUUGGCGUGUGUUGCUUUUUUAGUACAAGUUAAUAUUCAUAGUUACAGGUUUUCGCAGUAAUGGAUAUUUACAAAAGCAGUGUCUCAUUCUGAGGUUGAAAUGCUUUAGCAACCAGUCCAUAACCAUUAUUAUCGUGAAAUUGGCUUAUCCCAAAGUUCCACUCAUCAACUGGGUAACAAGCUGUUACAUUUUUGAUGUUUCAAAUAUUGGCUUACCUUCUUUUUUCAGCUUAGCAGUGCAAAUCCAAAGGUAUGGUAUUCUAUUUGUAUUGCUCACUUUAUUUACUUCAGUAUGAAGUCAUGACCCUUAAUUUUGGCUAUCUACACAAAUUAAAGAUGAAGCUCUGAGAAAGUCUCAGUUCAGCUACAUGUUCUUUUUAUAGGUUCAAGAUACAUGCUCUUUUUUACCUCUACAAGGAGAGAUCUGAAACUAUUAUGCGACCCCGCCUAGUGCUGCCAAUUAUCCAUCUAGCUAGGAAAGCCUAGCACCACGAAACUACUUAUGCACGUAGAGUGUUCAGAAGCUUAUACACCAAGUUCGAUGCGGAUCUGAAGGAGGGCGCCGCACGGGUGAAGAUUUACUACGCCGCCAAGCCUGGCAUGUUUGGAUUCUUUUUCUUUUGGAUUCUGAAUCUCUGUUUUUUUUUUCAAUUAAUUCUCACUCGAUUUGCAUGUUAGAGAAUCUUAUUGUUCAUUUGAUUCUAUUUGGUGUUGGUUUUGGCCACUCCACAUUGUUCUCAUUUCAUUGCCUUAUGAAGCAUGUCAUGCAGCCCUGUGUGCGUGUGUGGCUCUGCCAGCCUCCUCCAGUUCAACGCUGGAGCCUUGCCAGGUUGGCUAUUUUUCUGAGACGCGUCAGGCCAGGUUUCAUGGGUGUUCUUCAGGUGUUGUUGGGCCCAUUGGGUUUACAGAUCUCCUCCAGCGCACAAAGAAGAAAGGAUAACAGCCACCGAAUUCACCUUCUUUGGUCCCAAGGGAGUAGUUACUCCUAUUUGCAGGCAAAGAUGAGUUAGAUUGUUGUUAUGUCCGUGGUCUACUAUUUUCUUUCCCUUUUCUCAGUCGUGUUGUUUAUGGUUGUAAUCAAUCAGUCUGAUCAAUGCAAUCUUCUUUGUUUUUUCC